rnacentral:lncRNA from 1 species
GUCAAAGAAUAGACAGCCUGAAACCUCUUGCAGUGUAAACACAUUGAGCAGUUACUGGAAGGAGGCCAGAAGGCUUUUAAAUAGUCGCAUUGUUCUAAAUCCUUGUGCAACUGGAUCGGAUUAACUAUUGCACUGGGGCAGAGGAAAAACUCCCUGGACUGCAAGAAACUUUGGAAGCGGGGGACAAGAAAGAAGGGGAGUCCUAGAAGGUCUUGUUCCAGAGAUAAAGUUUGAUCCAGCAUAUUCUAAAAUGCUACAAGACUGCCGGCAAGUUUCAAAGACACAUCAGAAAGAACUCAACGGCCUGACCUGGAGACCAGGAGGAUGACAUUCUCAUUAGGCAAGAGAUGCUGGACUUUCUGCAGUAAUGAGAAAUGAAAGUCACCACUCUGCUCUAAAAGCAGGGGCUAUUUACCCCUGACCUGACACACUUCUCGAAGCUCUCACAAUAAAGGCACCCAGCAUCCACUUACUGUUUCACCAUUUACCAAGUAUUGAAAUCUUAACACAACUGGAAAAAUGUGGAAAGUAAAGCUCAGAAAGCUUAGAAUCCCUCAAAUAUGGUAGAACUAUUAAUAGAAC